GGCCCGUUGGUCAAGUGGUUAAGACAUCGCCCUUUCACGGCGGUAACAGGGGUUCGACUCCCCUACGGGUCACCA
rnacentral:tRNA from 1 species